rnacentral:tRNA from 1 species
GCCCGGAUGGCGAAAUUGGUAGACGCAAGGGACUUAAAAUCCCUCGGUAGAAAUACCGUCCCGGUUCGAGUCCGGGUCCGGGCACCA